AUGAAGGAGGGGUUCCUGCUGAGCGGCUCGUACAAUAAGAAGAUUUGCAUAUGGGAUCUCAAGGCCGGGAAUCGAGCCCCAGUUCUGGAUGCGCAACAGGUGUUUGAGGUCGCCGUUAAGGCCUCGAGCUGGCUGCGACCAAGCACGACCUCUAGCUCCUGCACCAGCAGUGCUACGCGGACGACAGAAUUCAGACGAUUCACAGACGACACAUACAUCCAGCCGGACAUGCGCAUGAAUGAGCAGGGCACCGGCCGCUGGAUUUUCAGGUCGUGCAUAGAUCGGGCAAAAGCAUCGUGUGUGGAGCAAUUUCGCUCCUGCACCGCGAUUGCAGUCGCGCGGCUGAUGGCCACGGGCUGCUCCACGCACGGACGACAAGCACGGUGUCCGCGAUCAAGAUCCUUCUCUACUGCAGGAGAACCUGAGAUGCGACAUCAACGUGGUGGUCAUAUAUCAGAAAGGCAAGUUCUUGUGAAAGGAAGGUCAAGAUCUCCGGCGGCAGGCCAACGGGCACCAUCUCGAGCCAUCGGCACGUGA
rnacentral:rRNA from 1 species